GUGACUGACCCAUUGCUAAAACCAAUGGUUCACUGCAGCAGAGACAUCAAACUAAUGGGUCGUAAUGAUAAAAGUAUUUUUUAUUUGUAGGCGAAGUAUCCCAUUUAAGGCUAUUAAUAAGUGAAAUAUAAGAAAGCAAUGUUUUUGAAAGAAGUUGCUUCUUGGAAAACUAUUUUUUGCAAUUUUUUGCUGCUAUUCAGUUUAGUAAAAACAGCAUUUUAAGUGUUUUACCCAUUCGUGUUUUUUACAAGGAAGAGUCAGCUCUCUUUUUAAGAAAAAAAAAGAAAAAAAAAGAAAAAAGUUACAAUUUACAAUAUAGCAUCGUAUUGUACAUCUCUCAACUUUAAUAUUGAAUGUGAAAAUGAAUGUAAACUUUGAAAUUUUAGGUGGUAAGCCACGUCUAGAUUUUUUGGAACAUUUUACAGCAUUGAUGAAAUCAAGGUGGAUUGGCGAGUGCUGGAAAUGCGGGGUAUAAAUGAAUCAACACAGCAACAGUUUGAUGAGUUGUAUGUGCUGGCAAAAGUGAUCCAUAUCGGGUUUUCCAUGUAGCUUGGAUAAUUUGUAGUUUAGGCUGAUGUGCAAUUAAUUAGCUAAUCAAUUGCUCAUGCGUUUCAGCCUAUAAACCAGACAGAAGACACUGAAACAUUUUUGUCGGCUAAGUAUAGUUAUUAAUCCGCGAUUUUCUUGCCGAGGAAUAGUUUUGGUAAAGUGCGUUGUUGUAUUGGGCUAGUGUAUAGUAUUAUAUUGGUGCUUAAGUAACAUACUUUAAUCUGUUCAUUAUAGCCUUGUUGGCAGGCUUUAUUGCUUGUGGCAGCUAUUUGGAUUCUGGCCAAUUCCGCUAGCUGUGAGUCAACGUAUUCCGUGCCUCCUUCUCUGGUUGUGGACGUGUUGUUGUGGUUGUUCCACCCCGUUGUUUAUUGUCCCGGGCUCCACCACGCACCACCACCUCCAAGGGCAACGCAGCCUCUCAACGGGCUCAGCGCCGCAGGGGGCUUCAACUUGCGGCAUCACAAUCCCCUGCACACCCCCAGGGGACCUCAGCCCUCUCCCAGACCACUCAACAACUUGAGUCGGAAACCUCAGCCACCACCCCGCCACUGCUAAAAAAGCAGUCAUACGCCACCGCCGAAGCAUGCAGCCUACGACCUCUGGUCCACGUGUCCGAAGGACUGACCCUGCCCAGGAGCAAUGCCAACACCUGGAUGGAGCCGCUGGAAUGGGGGAACUCAAAACCUCCCCCGACCCAGGCGAGCUCAGAAACAUCGACCCCCUCCUCCUUCACAUCUUCGUCUAGCUGCAAAGUCGUCGAGUUCUCUCCACGGGGCUGUGGCUGCCGCCAGGAUUGACAUCCCCGCACCCACGAGCUGUUCCCAGACGCCAGCUUCAAUAAAGGACCCUACUAUUGCCACAGUCUGGUGUCGGAACUGCGAGGGGCUUUACCCGGAGCAACAGGCCCAGCUGUGGUUCCACUAACCCUUAAAGGUUCUUAGUUCCACUAAGAACCUUUAAGGGUUUGUGAUGUUGGCACUGUGGCGGAACCUUUUAAGGUGCUUUAAAUAAUCUUUUUUGAUGGGGUUCCCUGAGGAAACUUAUAAUAAAGGUUCCUUUCUGAUUUUAGAACCACUUUAGAACCAUUUAUAGAACUGUGUAUAUGGUUUACUUCUAGAUUUUUUAAAAUCCAGAAUUAAAUUGUAAGCAUAUUGAUCACAAAUAUAGAGUAUCCAUGUGGCAAAGUAGUUUGCAGUGCGCAGGUGUAGGGGUGAUGCAGUGCGCAGUAAUAACGAACACAACACAGUUCACGGUGAAAAACAGCUCUUUAUUUGUGCUGGGUUGCUUGUUUGGCAACCUUAAAUAAUAAUACCUGACUCUUCACAAUGAUGUGUAUAGCACAGGUAAACCACAGGGUUCAGUCCUGCACAAGUCCAAUAGUGAGUGCUCCUAGUGCAAGUGGUGAUUUAAUACAAUAAUCGGUGACCGUGUAGUCCGGGUUUGAUGCUGGCUUAGCACGUCAGCUCCCGGAUAUUCAGCCGUCUAGAAUAACAAGCAACAAUAAUUAAACCGACAGAUAAGACAACACUAAACACUCACGGUACUUUUUUGCUCGUAUGUCCUUUGUAGGUCUUUCCGUAACCAUAACAAAGGAACAGACUGCUUCACCACAUCCCCUGAUAUACCCUAAGAGUUAACACAGGAAGUAUUUAUUGUUGUUCUUGUUACACUUGUUGUGUCUCUUUAUGUUGCAUUUUAGUUUAUAACUUUAAUUGUUCUUGAACUGUAACCUUGUAUUACAGUGUAACAUGUGUAAGUCGUUUGGAUAAAUGAGUUUGCUAAAUAAAUAAAUAAAAUAAAAAUGGUUACACUUUCAAAUUCUAA